CGGACGGGUGAGUAAUGUCUGGGAAACGUGCCUGAUGGAGGGGGAUAACUACUGGAAACGGUAGCUAAUACCGCAUAACGUCGCAAGACCAAAGAGGGGGACCUUCGGGCCUCUUGCCAUCGGAUGUGCCCAGAUGGGAUUAGCUAGUAGGUGGGGUAAAGGCUCACCUAGGCGACGAUCCCUAGCUGGUCUGAGAGGAUGACCAGCCACACUGGAACUGAGACACGGUCCAG
rnacentral:rRNA from 1 species